rnacentral:rRNA from 1 species
GCCACGGCUAACUACGUGCCAGCAGCCGCGGUAAUACGUAGGUGGCAAGCGUUAUCCGGAAUUAUUGGGCGUAAAGCGCGCGUAGGCGGUUUUUUAAGUCUGAUGUGAAAGCCCACGGCUCAACCGUGGAGGGUCAUUGGAAACUGGAAAACUUGAGUGCAGAAGAGGAAAGUGGAAUUCCAUGUGUAGCGGUGAAAUGCGCAGAGAUAUGGAGGAACACCAGUGGCGAAGGCGACUUUCUGGUCUGUAACUGACGCUGAUGUGCGAAAGCGUGGGGAUCAAACAGGAUUAGAUACCCUGGUAGUCCACGCCGUAAACGAUGAGUGCUAAGUGUUAGGGGGUUUCCGCCCCUUAGUGCUGCAGCUAACGCAUUAAGCACUCCGCCUGGGGAGUACGACCGCAAGGUUGAAACUCAAAGGAAUUGACGGGGACCCGCACAAGCGGUGGAGCAUGUGGUUUAAUU